rnacentral:rRNA from 1 species
GACGAACGCUGGCGGCGUGCUUAACACAUGCAAGUCGAACGAUGAAGAAGAGAAACGCGAACUUCGGUUCAAAUUUCACUUCGGAUUAGUGGCAGACGGGUGAGUAACGCGUGAGCAACCUACCUCUUACAAAGGGAUAGCCUCGGGAAACCGUGAUUAAUACCAUAUGACACAUUCAUAAGGCAUCUUAAGAAUGUUAAAGCUACGGCGGUAAGAGAUGGGCUCGCGUCCCAUUAGCUAGUUGGUGAGGUAACGGCCCACCAAGGCGACGAUGGGUAACCGGGCUGAGAGGGGGAACGGUCACAUUGGAACUGAGACACGGUCCAAACUCCUACGGGAGGCAGCAGUGGGGAAUAUUGCACAAUGGAGGGAACUCUGAUGCAGCGACGCCGCGUGAGCGAUGAAGGAAUUCGUUUCGUAAAGCUCUGUUCUAUGGGAAGAAAAGGACUGUACCAUAGGAGAAAGCCCCGGCUAAAUACGUG